GGAACAUGUAGAUAGUCAUUGUUCGGACUGGAGCAAACCAGGCACAGCAAGUUGAUUAAACCACAUGAACCAGGCUCUGCUUCUCUCUCUGCCUUGGAAGAAAUGCAAAAUUCUCCCAAAGGAGGAGGAUUCUUAUUUAGGUUGCACUUUGUACAUAGUUUUUCAGUAUGAGCACUGAAGGCAGAUUUUCUUUCUGCUGAUGUGCUGUUAAAGAUUCUCCAAGGGAAGGACUCAGCCAUGCAUGACUGCUGUAAAAGCAAGGAAUUUUGAGACAUGAAACGGAAAAAGGUGGGUUGAAGAAAGGGUGGAACAGGACAGCAUGAAAUCAGCAGUCUGUUUGACCAGAGGCAAGAGCUACAAGCAAAUCUGAUGUGAGCAAGGUUUGUAUGAGGAAGAAAGAUGAACGUAAAAGCUUGAACCUUUGGAAUUUUUUAGGAUCAGUGUGGUCCCUCUGCUUCAGCACCUGUGCCCCCUCUCAGAAGGAGCAGUGCUAACCUACCAGAGUCCACAUACUGUAAAGUUGGGACAUCCAUUGAAUCCAAUGUUCUUGGUUCUGAAGACCCUUGGACCCACCUAGCAUGGCUAUAGACUUUGAGGUCUGGCACUCAUUGGGAUAUCUGUGGACAACAUUCCACUUCACAGGGUAGGUUUCUGCAAGCUAAAAAGAAAAAAAAGAACAACCCCCAAACAAAACUGUAAACGAAAUGAAGGAAGUGGAGGCAGCUUCAAGCUUCAGCUUACUGCAGUACCCUCGGAUUUGAUCAGCUUAAUAUGUGACUCUGAGGAUAUGCUGAGUGAAAAGGAAAAAAAUAUGUUUGAAGAAGCUUCUAGGAAGUAAACGUUUCCCUGAGGAACAAUAUGAUAUCUCAAGGAAAACCUGCCUUAAGAUUAUUGGAGGGACUGAAUAAACACAGCAAGGCUGCAGUUAGACACAAAGCUGCAUCUUAGUCUGAAAAUCCUGGAGGUCUCCAGAUAAAUACACCACCUUAACAAUCCUGGUUUUGAAGAACUAUUGUAUGCUAUGGAAUAACAAGCCUGCUUUGGUUAUCCUGUGCUUUCAUGCAGUAUGGAAGAUAUCACAAAUCAUCUGUCCAGAUGCAGAAGUCUGUAUUUAUAAACUUCUGAUAAUGUCGGUUCACAUGAGCUCAGGUUCUGAAUGUCUUAAACUCUCUUCAUAUCUGGCAAAGUCAACGCUGUGAUUCAUCAUUCCACCCUGAUUUAGUAAUCUAAAACAGAUCAAUUAAGCUUCAGGCAGUGAGAAAUGUUUAGAAAGGACAGUAGAAUCUGAAAGACAGAUAAAGUAUAUCCCAUCCUGUAUUCUAGUGCAAUAAAGAUGUUUUGUUACACUAUGAAAAUCCAAUAUUAAUUGCAAAAGGAAAGGAGUGCUUAUAAUAUACAUUACCUUAACUGGAAUAUGUUUGCUUUAUGCUGAAACUUAUUACUAUUUUUAUUUCUAGCAAUUUUUUUUUUUUUUGGCACUUAAGUAAACUUAGAAUGAAGAAAUUUUAAAGCAAUGGUUCCGACAGCCAAAAUGAAAGCAGAAAUAAAAGGUUUUGGAGAGAAUAUAGAGAGGACUAGCAAGUAUGAUUAAGGGGGACAGAGAAACUUAUUUAUGAAGAAAGAUUAAAGGAGUAAAAUAUGUGUAUGUACAUUGGAGAUUAACUAAGUGGCUCAUAAGAAGCAUAACUAUCUUCAAGUAUUUGAUGCAUGUAAACACCAAGAAUGGAGAGGAAAUGAUUAUUUGGAUGCACUUAAAUGGGGAAAGAUUCUGACUUUAAAGUCUGAUACUGUUUUGCUUCAAUGUUGCCAGGAAAGAUCUAUAUGCUGAAAGAGGACGACACUGGAAAGGGAAAAAUUUAUACACUGGAAGAAGCAUGAAGCCAAAAGGAUUUCAGAAAUUAUUCAAAAAACACUAUAAAUUUUAAUACCAAAUAAGAGUUAUGUAAACUUUUGAACCAGCCUAUAAAACUCAAUAGAACAGUAUGACAGCACUAAACGGGUAAUGGAUUCAAUUUCUUGUUAAAGUUUUCUUUUCCCACAAGAAAAUAAAAUGCACCAUUUUGAAAGAUCCUGGAAGAUGAAGUGAUCAGCUGGUUGACCUAAGAUGACAAACUAGUUCCUUUCCACGUAUGAUUUUGAUGCUCUGCAAAUAUCCUAGUAAAUGCUGGCCCCAGAAAGUGGUUCACUCAGUCUGUUACACACUUUGACAGGUUAUAUAGCAGUUAAUAAUUAAGUGAAAGGAAGUUCUGUAUAAAAAAAUCUGCCAUCAUAUACGAAAUAUGUAUGUUCCAACUCUCUAUGUAGAGUCCACUGGUGUGGCUAUAAGUGGUAUCUUUGCUGACCAAUAGCACUGCUGGCAAACUAUCAGGUAAUUGUAAGUAUGUAUUUACCAGAGAAAAAAAGACCGGUUUACGUGCUUCUGUUUGUGAGACACAGUUGUGGCUGUACUGCUCUGCUGUGCUGAGCCCAGAUCCUCUAUCUUGCUGUAGGAUAAGCCUGGUUCUACCUAUAUCUAGGCAGAAAUUUGUUUAAAAGAGUCACAUGAAGAAUCCAUGUUCUUUAGUCAUUUAUAUAGUUUGUCAGAACAAGAUUUAAAUAUUGUCAGUCAUCUUGAAUUAUAACUAGUUUACAGCUUGUGCUCUGAACCCAUCCAUCCUUUUGAUCUUUUUACCUUAAGAAUGCAACUAUGUGGGAAAUAACUUUAAAGUGAAUGAUACACAUCUGACAGACUUUAAGGAAAAAUAAGUAAGAAUUCAGAAACAUUCCAUGUAAAGAAAAAAAAAUGUACCUUUUUAGAAAUGAACUGUUGUGCUCAUUCAUUGCAGAAUUUAAGUAAGAGUAAUGUUUUACCUCCUUCUUAGCAGCAAAGAAGCAACAUCAGAUGAGGGAGACGUAUCUGCACAUUUUUACAUCUCACAAAUAAUCAGCAGGUUAGAGACAAUAAAACAACUUACCUAAAAUAGAAUACUGGAAGGUUUAAGGUGUCUAUGUUGAAACUGUUACUGCGUUCAGUGCCUGCCCAACCAGAGUGUCAUUUAAACAUAACUGUCUUCCAUGUUUGCUCUGAAUCUUUUUGAGAUCACACAGUAUUCUGUUUCUGACCAUUCGCAGAAGGGCUCAGGGUGAAGCGGGCAUGUACCUCUGUCUGACUUAAACAGUCUGGGAAUCCAGAAGAUAAAUGGUAGUGUUAGCUUAUAGCACAGACCUGGAAAGUGCACUCAGACAAACGUAGUAUAUGCCAAUAAAACUGGAAACCUUUCAGAAGGAGACAACUUUUUACAUCUGCUUUGACCUCAGGUAUUUUAAACUCUAAUUUCUGAGGAGGCACACCUUACCCACUGGGUCCCAGGCUAGUCUACAUAGCUGUACAGAUGUGCACUACAACUGCAAAACUCAUUAAGAUUCAAGGAGAUAAAUGAGGAAGGAAACAAUUUUUAUGGAGCAAGCAGGAUUCUGGCCUUUGUCUUUGCCCCACACAGUUUGUAUGUCUAUUUUUCAGUAAAUAGUAGAACUAAGAAUAAUCCUAUGUUCCAUUAUUAACAUCUCAUCUUCAACAGUGGUUAUGUUUUUUUAAAAAAACGGAGCCUUUGAAACAAAAAUUGAAUUACCUUGAUGGUCUGUGGACACUGAGUGGAUGGAAAUAACCACAGUCUUCCACUGUGACAGAGUGCCUCAACUACAUAGGUUGGCAUUAUCUGACUUUCAAAAUUAUGAGUUAGAUUCUAGAUAACUCCAUAAUGUUUCUACUUUGUUAGUCCUCUCACAUAACAUCAUCUGUUCUCUGUAGGUAACAGCUCUCUAAUCUUGGCUUUGGAUUCUACUUUGUGGGCUAGAUGUCUGAAACCAUUGUGAGGGUCUGUGAGCACCUCUACACCUUUCUGGAACAUCCUGUGGGGAACAAGAGUUCUAAUUGAAGCACUUAAGACGUGCUCAGCACUUUUGCUUUAACUACUUUUGUCAUUUGUCUUUCUGGCAUCUCUAGAGUUCAUUGAAAUUUCUCUUGUAAUUCCUGAAAGUUUAAUUUGGACCUCAGUCUCCCCAAGGAAAUAUUGCUAAAGGUCAGAAGUAGGCUUAAAUCAUAAAGUUUCCAGGAGAGGGAAUCUAGGAAUUUCUCUCAGUUCCAUCUUUAACACUGUAGUAGAAGCCAGUGACAACAGGGCUUUGUAUUCCAGAUAUCAGACUGAGAAUGUGGUCUUGGCAUGUUGAAUAAUGUAAUUUGUGUACAUAUAAGCAAAGAAAAUAUUGAUAGUGAAAUAAUUAUGAAUAUAUAAAUGUGAGACAGUAGGAAGCCAUGUUUAAAGGCAUUUUUCAGUUUAUAACCACACUUUUAAGAAUUUCCUGUCUUUUCUUUUAGCCAGACACAUGGGAUUAUUUUAGCGUACUUUUAUUUGUGUGUUGUUUCCUUUACAUUUUUGUUUGAGCAGAAGAGGAUGGGAAUAAAAAUGCAGUCUUCAACAAAGUUUUACAAAGUUUAUGAUUCUAGGCUGUAGUAAUUCCCCUAUGUACACUUAAAACAAUAAUAAAAAUGCAAGCACCAUAUUUUGAAAAGUUAUUAUGACUUAUUAUGUAAACAGAUGAUGAUAAAACAUUCUGAGUUAUUAUUCAAACACAAUACAUCAUAAUUGUUUCUUUGGAGACACUAUAUAUUUCUGUCAUGGGCUUUACUUACAGGAUUCUUUGUAAAACCUUCAUAAAGGUAAUUACUUUGUAUUCCCAUCAUCACAUUUCAAAAAUAGUGAUCUCAGCCUCUGAACAUGUAAACUCUGAAACAAAAGAAGAGUCCUAUUGUCUUCUUGUGUAAACAAAGCUUGUUUACAAGGUUGGGCCUUCCAACACUAAGCCUUACUCUCAAUACACAUGAUUAUACAGGUUUUCUAGAUAUAAAUGUGAACUCACAGAUGGUGGUUUCAGGCCACUUAAUCUUAAUAAGCUAGUUUAUUUGAUGAAAAACUUAGGAGCUGACUUUGUAUUUUUAACAUAUUUAUGGGAAAUGGAGAAUGAGUAUCUGAAGUUGAUAACUUCCCUUUGCAAAUUCUGGUUGAUACACAGGGCUUAACAAAUAUAGGUAGUAUCUUAUUCCACACUGAAUGGAAUAAAAAAUCACUUGUCUUUUGUUAAUAUAAAGUUCAUAAUUAAAUUAUUCUUGAAAUACUGUCAGACAUUUCAGCAAAAGAACAAAAAACAAAAGUUCUAUUUAGUGUGGAUUGGUGUUGUGAUAUACUUAAUAUCUACUUCAACAUUGAAUUAAAAGAUUCAGAAAUCUAUCAUAAUAUGCUUCAAAAAAAGAUCAAAGACAAUGAAUAAAGUUGGCAGAAUAUGUUUGCUUUUACAUGGAAAUUACUGAAAUAAAAGAUUAAAAUAUGUAUUGAUAUUUACUAGCACUAUUUUCCACUGAAGUAAAUGGGUAAACUCUUGGGCUUGAUAUUUCUAAGCCCUUGCUGGUUUGAUACUCCAUGUCUUCUUACUUGCAUUGAUACAAAUAUAGGAAGUACCUAUAGAUUGCAUAAAUGUUGAUCAUAAGUGUUGUUUCAGGAUGAAAUGUAUUGUCUGUUUCUGUGAAGCUAAUGGCUUUUUGGUCACACAGCUUAAAGUGAUGUGAAGAUUGUCAUGUUUGUCAUGAAGAUUGUCAAGUUUGUCAUUACUUCUGAACUCCCAAAAUAAAUUGAAAUAAAUAAAGGUUUUUCUUCUAAAUCAGAGGAUGGUUCUUACUUAUUUAGUAUGAUGAUCUGUAAAAUGUCAUCAAAUGCACUGUAAAGAGAGGGAAUUGAUGGCAAAUCCUUACUAAGAUGUUGCAAAGUAAGUAGGAGGGAAGGAUCCUUGUGUUUAGAAGGACAGUUUUUUAUUUACACGCACACGUAUAUGUUUUGAGGUUACUAAAGAACACCCAGCUAUAUCUUCAACUUCAGUUAGCAGGAGUUUCUAUUACAUUUUAACACAGGAUGGGUGAGAAAAUGUUUCAUUUUAUACGCAUGUGUAUACACACAGACAUUCCAAAAGACACAAACCAUUUCAGAAAUGACAGUUUCCUCGCUGUCCAAUUAGGUGAAUUGAAUGUGAUUAUGUUGUAGUUCUCAGGGCUCUAAUUGCACAUAAAAACUUCCAAAUCACAACACGUGGUAUUUCCAUCCAAAACAAAGGGAGAAUUAUUAAAAUGUGGUGGGAUUUCAUGUAACACUGGCAGACAGCUUAGAUGGCAAUAAUUUAACACUUGCACCAUGAAAUUAAAAUUUACGUUCACUCUGUGCAAUUCUUCAGACCAGCAGCAGACAGUUGUAUUUUUUUUAAUGAGAGCAGGGAGAUUUAAUUACUUGAAUUUAACUAGAAAAACCUUUCCAUUGCUUGAUGACAGAGGCAAUAAUAUUGGCACAGAUUUGCAGAUGCUUUUUGAGCCUGCUUUCCAUAUUCUCCAUAGCUCUGCUUUGCAGCAUCCAUGUUUCUGAAGGCCAUGAACAACCACAUAGAUUCUUCCACAGAUUCGGAGCAAUGCAUGCAAAUUCCAGCUGCCCAUAAAUCAUUGUCUGAAAGGCAAAUGUUAUGGCUGCUAUAAGCAUUUCAAGUAAGUUCCAAAACUUUCAGCAUUGUGUCUUUCUGAACAGAAUUUGUACAAAUUAUACUACUAUGUCUUCUCAAAAAUCCUUCUCUUUUGCAACAAUUCCUUCUGUAAUGCAUUAUUGUCAAUGUAACGAAUGCUAAAGAAUUGAGCUGUAACUCACCAAACACAAACUACAAAAAUACAUUUGUUUUUUAUUGCCAUGAGGUCUGGUAGAAUAGAAUUACCAAGUUUUCUUUUAUACAGAAACAUAUAUUUUCCAGACAGUUUAGAGAAAAUUGAAGCUAGAAUGCUAUCCUAAGGCUACAUGUAAGUCUAAGUUGAGGUUCAUAUAAGUACUUAAGAUAAACAUUUUCUAUACUCAGUUAGACCACGAUAUAAAGAGAGGGAUGAAUGGCAGAUGAGCAUUGCUCUGUGCAAGUUGGUUCAACAGCAAAGGUAAGAACAGCAGAUGUGUACUGGAGAUCAGGAAGACUACUAUUGUGUGAGUACUGUAAUAAGGCUAAAAUCAGAAAAGAUUAUUAUUAUUUUUAAAAAGAUUUCUCAGUGAAUUUGGGCAUUUGUUUCCUUUAAGAAAGAGUAAACUAUAGACACGUCUGAUUUCAUUGUCUCAGCAGUACAGGGACACGGUACUACAGCCCAGGAAUACAUCAUCCCUUUAACAUUUGCAUGAUGCUUCUGAAAAAGUAAUGGAAAUUAUCUGCAUUGUUUUAUGUUUUAUAAUCAACCACUGAUCUCAGUUUAAGGACUAAGCAAACAACUCUCAGGGAUAGGAGAGAACGGAGGAAAAGGAGAUACCCUCCUACAACCCACCUUUUAAUAUUUAUGCUUGAAAUGGAAAAUACAGAUGUUGCAGAAGUACACAUCUGGGACAUUGUUUCCAUAUUUUUGACAGAGAAUAAUUUUCACUGCUUUUCAUCCAAGUGGCUUAAAAUCAAUGUUUUUGUUCAAAAUAAAAUUGCAUGAAUACUUUUGCUGAUCUUGCAAUCUGUACUGUUGUACUUAUUUCUUUUCUCCCCAGAAGCUUUGUAGGAUUCUUGUCUGGUUUAUAGGGUUUAGGCUGUUUUCUCCUUUCACCACUGUUCCAGUGCUCCAUUUGCAAAGUGUUUAGAUUACAGCAGACGCGAACUUCCUCUGUCUCAGAGCCAGCAAUGAAUCAGGCUGAGAGCUGGGACCACUGGCUGUCAGAGGACCCUGAAAAGCUGCAGCUUUAAAAUAACAAGUAUUUGACAGCUCAGUUUACAAAGCUGCAGAUUGUAGUUAUAUUGUGCUAUGGGGCUACAUAUGACAUAAUAACUUGGGACUUAAAGUUAUUUAGUCUCUUUCCUCUCACCGUAAUUUCCAGUAAAUAAAUCUCUCUGGGACAGGAGGUCUGUUGAGUUGUACAAUGCUUGCAUUUUCUUCACCACAGCUUGUCCUCUCUCUUUCCUAUUUUAUACGUUAAAAAACCUCAGUGUCUGGUAAUCGCAUUUCUAUAACACUUCCUGUUGAAAGAGACAGACUAAUAUAAAUACAUACAGUGUGUAUUUUUAAAUUUUUAUUAGUCAAGGUAUUCAUUGCAAGUCUUCCUAUCAAAAUCUCUUCAGAAAAUCCUUUAUGGACAGAGCUUAAUGCUGUGUAGUUGGAGUGGAACAUGGGCAAACUUUUAAAAUGCUUUAAAUGGUGCUUUAGAAAAAGAGCUGCGCUCACAAGAUUAUUGUGAGUUGUAUUUUACAAAAUUAGCCGACAGAGGUUCCAUCAAUAUAGAUUCACCUGAACUGAAAAAAACAGAACUGAAUAAAACGUGGCAACUGGAAUGCUUGUUUUUCUCCAAAAAUAAGAUAUUGUAGAAUGAAGGAAACAGUGUCUUUACAUUAACACAUUUGCUCUAAGAGAACUAGCUAUUUUUGCUGCAGUCCCUUUCCAGUAACAAAAUGGUAAGAAGUGCCAAUGUUUUCCUGAUUUAAUUUUCCUUUUACUAAUAUUUAGGCUUUCAAAGAAGCCCAAGGGAUAUGGUUGCUCAGUUUACACUAGACAUUCAAAUCUCCUUGCUUUUGAAAUCCCAUGUCUAAUUUCAACUUUUUUUAAUUAUUAUUUUUUUUUAAAGGUCUUAAUUCUUCAGAGUCUCUUUACACUAUUUUUGUUGUAACUCUAAAAAAGGUUUAUUAAGGUUUGGGGAUGUAUUUUACAGGUAAGAUUGCAGAAGACUUAAAAAUCUUUAUCCUUGCAGGUUUUUUUGUGUUUUUUUUUUCUUCUUUGGAAUAUAGGACACUAGAUACAAUGGACUACAACAGUCAAUAAAUGUUGUAUAAAUGUUGUAUUGUAUAGUACAUGCAUGGAUUCCUUGUAACAUCAGCUUUCUUCAGUUGAGUUCAUCAUCUUAGGCUCCAUCUGAAGUCUCUGCAGACUUGAUUAGGGUAUGGUUUCUCUGGCCUAUUUUAAGUGUUUACUUUAGAAUGAUAUGAAUCACAAUCUGAACUACUGAGUAGAUUUCCACUGUCUGUCAAGAGAACCCAGUGUUGACAUCUACAUCAAAUCAGAUUAUUUCUACUCUUAAAGCUGAACUAUUCUUAAAGUCUAGGAGAAUCUCUAGCCUUGAGUUGAGCAGUUCUGGUUCUCAUUGCCACCAACGUCAAAAUGAACACUGUCUCGAUGUAUUGAUGCUUUUCAGAAGAAUCACAGUGAAACAUAACAUUUAGGCACCAUUCCUAACAUUUCUGGAGCUGAUAUCAGGUAGGAAAAUGUGACUACAGAUACUGAAGGUUAUGAAUAAAAUAGAUGGGUUUGUUCACUGUCUACAAAGGAUAGUGGUACAGAUAGAUCUUUCAGAUUUAGUAAAUGUGGAAGGUAAUGAUUAUGUGAAGACAGACAGUUUAGUUGACUUGGGUUUCUGAAUCCAAUAAGUGACUAAAAACUAAAAAUGUGACUAAAUGUAAGUAUUUGAACUUGGGUGUAAUCUGCCUAUACUUGAGAUUCAUUACCUGUAUCAUAAGCAGAUAAAUAACAUUUACCUUUAUUUUUGAAGUCCAAUAAUAGCUGUUAUACUCUGAAAUGGUAGUACUAGAUUAUAAUUGACUAAUCUGUAUUGAAUAAAGUAAAAAAAACACUGAAGGCAAAAGGAAAGAAAUUAGUUUCUAACAGUUCUUUUUUUAUUGUGUGUCUUAUUUAGAAUCAGAUUAUUUUCAGAAUACUGAAACAUGUCUUUCUCUGUCUGUCCAAAACAUGUAUUAGUUUUUGCAUAUUUUUUUAUAGUGAAAUAUUGCUUUGUUUUGCUAGCUUUACAUUUGGGAAUGUGGUUUUAAAAAUAAUUCUUCGUAUUCAUUUGGAGAGAAAUAAUCUAUAAAUAUACCUAUGCACUCACAGGGUUUAGCACUUGACAGUUUUAUUAAAAACAACAAGUACACACAGUCUUAGCAUUGUUUCUAAAAUGUUGCUAAUCCUUGGCUGUGAAAUAUCAGAAAAGUGAAAUGAGACAUCGGGGUUUCAGUUUGCCAAAUGUGAGAGGUUAUUAAAACAAUUUUUUCCCGUACAACAUAUUUAUGAAAAAAUGUACACAAAGAAUAAAAAGUCAGAAAAAAAUGGCACAUUUAGCAAUAACUGCAAAAGAAAUUCAUUUCUUAUGAACUUGCAAGGUUGUUCUAUUUCCUGUUUUUUUUCCCAACCACUAUUACAAGAAAAGGAUUGUUACUUCUCACAAAAUUAUUUUGCAGAUCUUUCAUACUAAAAGAUUUAACUUGAAAAUGAACAGCAAUACAGUAAUUGGAAUUUAUUUAGUUAGGUUUUUCUUGCCUAAAUCAGUUCAUCUAAAAAUAGGGCUUCUAGAUCAAACUAGUCAACUGGCUUUUCUCUCAAUCAGUGUGAGAGACAGACGCCGCAAGAACAGCACAUCUUCUUGGUCCUUGAUACUUCCACAGAGAUGUAAUCACAAGUAUUCUGAGUCACACAGUUUGGUUCAGAAAACCCAACCAUUCACUGACAAGUGGUGGAAGUAACAAUAAUUCCUGGAAAACUAAAACCCCUCUAAAUAGUAACUCUAUUGAAUUUUCAACUAAGAGAUUAAGUACUGAUCCUAACAGUCACUGGAUGCUUUCCCUCCUCCUCAGAAGCUCACUUGUCAGUGAUUUAACUUUCCACAGUGGCUAUCUUUAUGAACUGAAUCUAAAUGGCCCUUCUGAUGUUUUAUUUUUUUCCAGGAAUUAGUUUGAUCUAUGCCUACUGUCAUUAUGUCUACUGCUUUUAAUUUAUAAAAAGAAGCAAACAAUCCUGAAGACCAUGUUUUAAGAAAAGGCGAGCCAUCCUUCAUCUGUUUCUUUUGUUAGUGAGAAUAAAUUACUGUUAAAGUAUUUUUUUUAAAUGAAGUAUAAUAGUAUAACAUACUUUCCUAUUAUGUGGUUCAUAGGAGCAGCUGCACUUGAAAAGACAAAAAACAAAAGAUUUUGGGAAAAGUAAAAUCAGGAGAAAAUAAUGCAGAUAUAAAAAAUUUGUUAACUUUUUCUUCCAUAAAACAGCUUUGAAAGCAUAGAAAGAGAUGGGUUAGAUUUCUGCUGAAUUCAUUAACCUUGAGAAUAUCCAUAGAAGUCGUAGGAUAGGUUACCCAGGACACUGAACUGGGACUCAAAUUUUUCCCAGGAUAAAGCUUUUUCCAGCAUUUAUAGCAUGAUGUCAAUGCAAAGCUUUUCCCAAACUUCCUGGAACAGUUACAGGCAAAUCACUGGAGACACAAAAAAUAUCUGGGGCCUCAGCCAGCAACAUUCCUCUAUGAGUACUGGUAUCUCAAUUUGCUCUUUAUUUUCUUAAUUGGCAUUAUGCAAUUUUGAAGAUUUACAGCCAGCUAGACUAUGAAAAAUGGAAUAGAAAAGCCAGAGCUGAAAGUGACAGCAAUCAUUUUACCACAUAGUAGACAUAGUUUUUUUCUACAAACUCAACUAGUUUACAACAAAAUCUCCCCUUUAAUCUUCUGUGAUGUUGCAAAAGUCAUCAGCCUCCCAGAUUAUAUCUUAUCUGUGGCUCGUAUAAUGAAUGUUUUAAUCCACUGGAGCAACAGAAUAAACCAUAAUUAUAUGUAUUUUAGGCUGAGGGUAUGUUUCCUUAAAAAUGUAUCCUAUUUUUGCAUUAAAAUCUCAGCUUCUUAAAACAAACAAUCCAUAGACUCUAUGAUCAUUACUCUACAUUUUAUGUAUGUUGUCAAACCUUCCAAUAGCAUUUUAAAGUACCUCAAAGUACUGCUGUUGUGAAACUUGUAGAUAAUCUAUGUAAUCAUGGACAUCUGACUCCUAAAAGGAAGGUUAUAAAAGGCACAGAGGGCAGUUAAGCAUGUAAUUGCCUUGAGAAAUAAUGGGAAUUGGGCAUCUAACUCUCCUCUGUACCUCAAAAAAUGUCCCCUACACAGAGUGGAGAGUCUGUGGUCAUGGAGAAUUCACCAAGAGAAUGGAAUAACCUUCUUUGGAGAACUUUGACCUUGAAAACAUCAGCAUCUUCUCAGCAAGUAUCACAAAAACAAGGAGGAAGAAGGUGUUCAGAUUUAGCCUCCUGUGAGCAAUUCCUUGACUACUUUCCUGCACUUUCUGUCCUUGAUAUUAUCAGUCAUAAGCAGUGGUCUCUAAAAGUGCAGUCUGGGAAAUUUCCUUCAACAUUAAAAUAUUAGUCAUUCCGGGUGUAGUCAGUCCCACACUUCUGCUGAUAAUUUAUUUCAGUUUUGUUUCAGAAUAUAAUGUUUCCAACAGCUACGUCUAUGGCGAGACCUGGGUCUGAUCCCUUAGCUGUCUUCCCUCAGCUUGUUUGUUGGCUGCACUGGAGAGUGACUGUACAGUUGGCUCUAGUGUGGCUGCUGUCAGACUGUCUCUUGAAAGGAGCAGAGCUUCAAUCCUAUCCCUUGGAAAACUUCAGCUAAUAGUGUAUUAGCAACAACGUGUUCUUUCAUUUUUCAUGAAAAAAUGUUCAGGUUUAGCUUAUCUCUGGAUCACUGCAGAGGAUGCCUUGAAAGCCUGAAGAUUUUUCUAACUAAACUGAAAAGCUGAAAUCCAUAGUAUAAAUUUCAGGACUGUGCUACCAUUUACGAAUGUGUCCUUUCUUUCAUCUCAAAAUUGCAAUCUUUGCAUAGACAGUAGCAUCAUCUUGAAGAAAGAUACCGCACAUAAGUAUUCAUAACAUUGUUUUUUCUUGUGUGCUACAAAACUGUCAUAUACUCGGAGACAAGGAAUAAUAAUCCACCGUAUGAGAUAGUCUGUGCGCACAAAACAAAAAACGAAACAAACAAAAAAAAAACCCAACCAACUAAAAAAAAGGAAGGCCUUGAUAAACUCAACAAAGCUUACUAAAAUCAUAAAUAAAGAAAAUGUCUUGUAGGGACAACUUCUGCCCUCAUUUAGAAACAGUGAAUUCAUUGUGAUUGGUUACCAAAUUUGGCCUUAGAAACAGACCAUGUAUUUUGUCUGUAUAUGUCUGGCUUAUGUAUUUUAACUGUGUUUACUUGACCAUAAAGGCAGAGAAGUCUCCCUCUUGAACUCAGUGGAAGUGUUGGCUCUGACCUCUUACAGAAAAGAAAGAGACCAAAAAUGGUGAUUGUUUUCUUUCUUGAAUUGUUAUUAUUUCUAACUUGAAUUGUGAUUCUUAACUACCCUAAGUUGGCCUACAUACACUUUUUUUUUUUUUUUUUUUUUUUUUUGGGAAGGAGAAAGCUUGCAAGGUCCACAAAUUAAUUAGACUACUAUGAAUGUUGAUGGAAAUGUAAAUCUAGAGAAGUCAAUACACUCUGCAACUUAGUCUCUCCUUUUUUUUUCAUCUACAAACCUUUCACAACAGAAAAUUGGGAUUUGAAAUAAAACAACAUGCAAGUGACAGGAAAAAUAACCCAACAAAACAUCUGUGGCAAAAAGCAGAAAUAUAGGUAAAAACAAAAGAGAACAUAUAAGCAAGGUGCUACGAGUGAAAAUGAGAGAAGGAGCUGGAAUAUAUGAUGAAAUAUCCAGCCAUUGCUUUUAAAACCAAGCAUUUUUCAUUCUUUCCAAAUCUGCAUACUUAAUGAAGGGAAUUCUCUAGACAGAGGACAAACUAUGAAGAUUGUUAAUGAAAAAAUUAGGGACAGUUGGGAGCUAAACCUGCUGUAUUAUUGCUUCACUGCUCUCAGCCUGCAGCAGUUGGAUUCAAACAAUUCUCUGCACCAAAACAGCUAACAGUUGAAGGGAUGCUCUUCCCUCUUUCUCUCCUGUUGUCAACAGAAAAGUCAGUUGUAAAUUUAUCAAAUGUGGGUGAGAGAGAAAGAAAAGUUUUCAUGAUUUCUAGGCUGACUUAUGGAUGACUAAACUGGGUGUCUUUUUUGUUUUUAGCAGAAAAACAUAGUGGCUGAUAAAUAGUAUCUUAGAGUUAGGACUUUUGCUUUGAGUGCCUCCUCCAGUGCAAAGCUUCGCAAAAACGCCAGUGUGUGAAGCAGCACAUUAGUAAUUUUGUAAAAGGGUAAAGUUCUGUGGAAAAUGAGAUAGAGAAUGAACUGAACAUUGCUGAUUUCAAACGAGUAUAUGAUGUGGCAGUGUCUCUGAAGACUGGGAGAAAUGUAAUCUGACAGUUCCUACAUCUUAGUAAUGGCAAGUAUCCCGUCACAGAAUGCAGAGGAGAGAAAAAAAAUGUUAUUGUGCUUUAACUUGCCACUUGUGAUGACACGAACAUCACACAUUCUGACAUCUGCUAGAUGUGUCUAGAUCCAUGAGUGAGUAAUUCAUUAAAAAAAAAAAUAAAAAGCUCAAUUUUUUUUUCUUUUUUCUUUCAAUGACUCAUCCACAUGCUUAACAGAAUGUUCUGGAUGAGCAUUUACUUUUUCCUUUUUUUUUCCAAUGAUCACAAGCAUUAUUAUUAAAAUUACAGUUACUAGGAGAAUAUUAGUAAUUAUACAGACACAUCUUCUGUGAAUAUUCUAUGAAAUUCAAAUACAAUAUAAAUUUGGGCUUCUUACCAUUGUUGAAUGUCCACUUGUUCUGAAGUCAGAAAGUAAACAUGGUAAGAUCUAGUCUAUCCCUAUGUACAACAUCUCACGUAAGCUUUUUUCCCACAGAUGUUUCACUAAGAUGAUGAUGUUUCCUCUGUGGUUGUAGCAUAUGUUUUAGAAAGACAUGAUGCCUUGAUGACAAGAAAAGUAGAAGAGCAAAACAAUUACAAGCACUAUCUUACCUUGGAGGGGCUUCUCUCCAGGUUUACAUUCUUGUGUUCAUAAGGCCAGAGACACCUCCUGUCUGGAAAGUUCAGGCUACAAAGCGGCUUGAGUGGCAAGAGGGUUGUUUGGGAACAAACCUCCCAAUGACAUUUGUGAUCUCAGUUAGCAUUUAAAUUAAGAAGCACACAGGACUAAAGCCAAUGUAUAAACCCACAAGACAAAGAGGCCUGCACUUAAAUCACUUUAUAAGUGAGUAAUGCUCUCUAGUGAGUAAAGCUCCAGAGAAAGAACAGACAACAGACAUUGGCCGAGCAGAGGGCUUUGCAGGGUAUACUUUCCCUUUAGGACAUUCAGUACAUCUUGCACUUUUAUCUUUAUCAUCUACAAGUUUCCUCUUUCCAUUUCUUGGUAGCACAGAACAUUUCGUAUCCGUCCCCAAGAGAGCUCCUUUCCUUGUUAUUACUUCAACUUACAAAUAUGAAAUGAAUGUUGCCCAAAUACUUUCAUGUGCUGAGUUACAUUGAACUUCCAGUGAAUCUUGGUAUGUGUGGGAGGAGAUAAUUCCAUUGUUUGCAGGAGAAAGUAUUUUGGUAGCAUUGAGGAGUCAGAGUUGAUUCUUCAGCAUAAUUUAAACUGGUGUCAGCUGCAGGUCAAGACACAUAUACGAUUUUCUUAAAUCAUACUAAUUCUACAUUGCUAUUUUAUCCCUUGUGCUGUGACCACAAAUUCGGAGUAGGUUUUAGACAUUGCUAACGCUGGCAUACCUAUGCCUUCCUUAUACUGUGAUGUUUUAUUGUCCCCUGAUUUAGGCCUGCAUUCAAAUUGUUAUCUACUGUCAACUGUUCUCCUUUGCAUAAAUAUCAAAAGAUUGUGGCAAAUUUCUUUGUAGGAUCAUACCUAUCCUCAAAACAAAAUAAAAAAGUAUGUGGAACUAUUUCUUUGACUGAGGAUCUCUGAAUUAAUCUCUUACUCACUAUCUUCUCUGUCCAUUGUUUGCACUGAUUGUCCUGCAUGUAUGCAUUUUUGGAAGGUAAACAGAUUUUUGUCAAAAUAACUUAUCAACCCUUAUUCUAAGACUGGAUGUUCUGAAUAGAGUUCUGAACUUAUCUAAGCCAUAUCACAUAAGAAUAUGUGCCAUAAAAUACUUUAGCACCUAAAUCAUGCCUUCUGUUCAAUAGUUUUGUUGCAUGAAAUAUUAUGGGAUCCAGUUGUUCACAAUGUUGCUGCAAGAAUCUUUGUGGUUCAACCAAGCAUAAAGAACACAGGCACUUUGUGAUGAACUACAGUGAACAAACUUCUAAUCAGAAAUUUUGUGCUGCCAGUCCCAUAAAGCACUAAGCAUAUGAUAAAUAUAAUGGAACAAGCAAAGAACCGAGAAUUGCUGCAAUUUUCAAGCCUGCUGCCUGUGUGCCUGUACUUUGGAAAAUAUUGUUUCAUUUUUUAAUUUUUAGGUAAAUACUGAUAGAAAUAUCUGAAUUUGUACUUUGUCUCCUUCAGCCUGACUUGCACUACCAUACUCUUUUGCACACAAAACUCAACAUUUUCUGAGGGUAUUUGCAACCUCAGGCUUACACUACAGACAAACUUUAACCUUUAUUUUAGCUGAAAACGGUGUCUAAAUUCAUGGCUCCUUACAUUUCUGCAGUAUGUUUCACAGGUUUAAAUUAUGCACAUAGGAAGUAAUAAGUGUUUUUCACCCACCUUUUCCACUGAGAGGAUAAACUCAGACACUGACUGUGUUGACAGUAUUUCCUUCCUGGGGAAAUCUGUAUGUGAGCAUAUUAUUACUCAAAUGUCUAUCUUAACACUUACCCUGUUUCAUCUUUGUAUCGGUCUACAAGUAUUAUAACUUAUCCUAUUGCCUUGACAGUCUAAGAUGAUGAUAGUCCUGUCUUGAAUCUAUCUCAAGACCCACUGGCAGUUAGAAAUAUAUUUGUAUUCAGACAAGUUAGUAAUGAGCAGCGUGGAGAUUACUCAAAGUGACCAAAUUCCUCAGCACAGUAGAUAUAAGAACAGGUAAUUGGGGAAACCAGCUCAUUAUUAUGUACAAGCAGCAUAUCUGCUUCAGAUUACCUGCAAGAUGAUGAUUUAUACAAUAGGAAAGUAUUUACCUGAAAACAAUGAUCUCAUCAAGUAAUAGUCCUCCGUUGAUUCAAGGAAAAUUCUGUUGCAAUUGUGUCCUGCAGAAGUGGUAAGGGAGACAGUCCAGAAAAAUUCAGAUCCAGGAGUGAAGAUCACCACCAAAAAGAACCCUCUAGGUAUUCCUUCAGACAUGACUAUCUGCAGUAUUGCUUCAUAGUUUUCAAGUUUUACCUUAUUUACAUUACCAUUUGCAAUGGAUUUUUUUUUCUUUUUUAGCAUUACUUUUUGCUCAAACUCCUCCUUCAUGACCCCUUUUCUCUCCUACAUGUUACUUGAUUUUAUAUGGCUCUUACACAGCUGUAACAAAAGAGAGUUGAUAUUUAAAUACUUUUGGAAAGCAUGUCAUUUUCCUAUCCAUCUGCUACUUCCCAGUGGGCCUGCUAAGCUGCCUUCCUGACUUACAGAGGCUAGUGUUAGACCUCUGGAAGAAUCAGCUUCCAACAGCAUGGUUUCCUAUGGAAACCUGACUUCCCAAAGGAAAUGAGGAGAGCACAGAUGAGGUGGAAAAACUACCUUAUUUUCUGCUGGAGUGGCUCAGAGUAGUGAAAAGCCUUGCUGGUAAGGCACUUUGUAAGCUCAGAACUGCCAUAUUGCUGACUGUUCCCGAUUGCAUUCUAUAGCUGGAAACCUAUUCUGCUCUCCAAAUGCAUCUGCAGGAGCAGCCUGCUCUGAGAAAACACAUAGAAUCAUAGAAUCCUUAGAGUUUGAUGGGACCUUUAAAGGCCAGCUAGUCCAACUCCCCUGCAAUAAAGAGGGACAUAUACAACUAUAUCAGGGUGCUCAGGGCCUGGUCCAGCCUAACCUUGAAUGUCUCCAGGAACAGGGCAUCCACCACCUCUCUGGGCAAGCUGUUUCAGUGCUUCACUGUCCUUACUACAGCAAACUUCUAGCUAUUCUAUAAAACUUAUAUUUAGUCUUAUAUCCUGCCUUAAUCUCCCCUCUUUCAGUUUGAA
ensembl:lncRNA